rnacentral:piRNA from 1 species
UGUAAUUUAUUAUGAAGGAUGUUGUUGCA